rnacentral:snRNA from 11 species
CAGACAACGAGGGUGAGGCCGAGAUCUCCCCGGAAGAACAGGAGGCUAAGCAAGCCGAGAUUGACAGACUCAAGGCCCAGGAUGCGGACGAAGCAACCC